CCAGCCACACUGGGACUGAGACACGGCCCAGACUCNUACGGGAGGCAGCAGUGGGGAAUUUUGGACAAUGGGGGCAACCCUGAUCCAGCCAUGCCGCGUGUGUGAAGAAGGCCUUCGGGUUGUAAAGCACUUUCGGCCGGAACGAAAUCGCAUGGGCUAUUACCCCGUGUGGAUGACGGUACCGGAAGAAGAAGCACCGGCUAACUACGUGCCAGCAGCCGCGGUAAUACGUAGGGUGCGAGCGUUAAUCGGAAUUACUGGGCGUAAAGGGUGCGCAGGCGGUUGCGCAAGUCAGGCGUGAAAUCCCCGGGCUUAACCUGGGAAUGGCGCUUGAAACUACGUGACUAGAGUAUGGCAGAGGGAGGUGGAAUUCCACGUGUAGCGGUGAAAUGCGUAGAGAUGUGGAGGAACACCGAUGGCGAAGGCAGCCUCCUGGGCCAAUACUGACGCUCAUGCACGAAAGCGUGGGGAGCAAACAGGAUUAGAUACCCUGGUAGUCCACGCCCUAAACGAUGAUGACUAGUUGUUGGAGGAGUUAAAUCCUUUAGUAACGCAGCUAACGCGAGAAGUCAUCCGCCUGGGGAGUACGGUCGCAAGAUUAAAACUUAAAUGAAUUGACGG
rnacentral:rRNA from 1 species